rnacentral:rRNA from 1 species
AUACGUAGGGGGCGAGCGUUGUCCGGAUUUACUGGGCGUAAAGGGUGAGUAGGCGGUUAUAUAUGUCAGGUGUAAAAAGCUAUGGCUUGACCAUAGUAAGCACUUGAAACUGUAUGACUUGAGGGCAGGAGAGGUAAGCGGAAUUCCUAGUGUAGCGGGGGAGUGCGUAGAUAUUAGGAGGAAAACCGGUGGCGAAGGCGGCUUACUGGACUGUAACUGACGCUGAGUCACGAAAGCGUGGGUAGCAAACAGGAUUAGAUACCCUGGUAGUCCACGCCGUAAACGAUGAGUGCUAGGUGUUGGGCAGCAAUGCUCAGUGCCGAAGUAAACACAAUAAGCACUCCGCCUGGGGAGUACGUACGCAAGUAUGAAACUCAAAUGAAUUGACGGGG